rnacentral:rRNA from 1 species
CGAACGGGUGAGGAACACGUGAAGAAUCUGCCCUCCACUUUGGGAUAACACCGGGAAACCGGUGCUAAUACCGAAUAUUGAAACAUAAGUGGCAUCACUGAGUUUUGAAAGAAUUUCGGUGGAGGAUGACUUCGCGGCCUAUCAGCUAGUUGGUGAGGUAAUGGCUCACCAAGGCAACGACGGGUAGCCGGCCUGAGAGGGCGACCGGCCACACUGGGACUGAGACACGGCCCAGACUCCUACGGGAGGCAGCAGUGGGGAAUAUUGGGCAAUGGAGGAAACUCUGACCCAGCGACGCCGCGUGCGGGAUGAAGGCCUUCGGGUUGUAAACCGCUUUCAGUAGGGAAGAAGCGAAAGUGACGGUACCUACAAAAGAAGCACCGGCUAACUAUGUGCCAGCAGCCGCGGUAAUACAUAGGGUGCAAGCGUUGUCCGGAAUUAUUGGGCGUAAAGAGCUCGUAGGUCGUUUGUUACGUCGGAUGUGAAAACCUGAGGCUCAACCUCAGGCCUGCAUUCGAUACGGGCAAACUAGAGUUUGGUAGGGGAGACUGGAAUUCCUGGUGUAGCGGUGGAAUGCGCAGAUAUCAGGAGGAACACCAAUGGCGAAGGCAGGUCUCUGGGCCAAUACUGACACUGAGGAGCGAAAGUCUGGGGAGCGAACAGGAUUAGAUACCCUGGUAGUCCAGACCGUAAACGGUGGGCACUAGUUGUGGGAACCUUCCACGGUUUCUGCGACGCAGCUAACGCAUUAAGUGCCCCGCCUGGGGAGUACGAUCGCAAGAUUAAAACUCAAAGGAAUUGACGGGGCCCCGCACAAGCAGCGGAGCAUGCGGCUCAAUUCGACGCAACGCGAAGAACCUUACCAAGGCUUGACAUAUAGGGAAAAGUGGCAGAGAUGUCAUGUCCGCAAGGGCUCUAUACAGGUGGUGCAUGGUUGUCGUCAGCUCGUGUCGUGAGAUGUUGGGUUAAGUCCCGCAACGAGCGCAACCCUCGUCCUGUGUUGCCAGCAUUUAGUUGGGGACUCACAGGAGACUGCCGGGGUUAACUCGGGGGACGGUGGGGAUGACGUCAAAUCCUCAUGCCCCUUAUGUCUUG